ACGGAAGGCAGCAGUGGGGAAUAUUGCACAAUGGGGGAAACCCUGAUGCAGCGACGCCGCGUGAGCGAAGAAGUAUUUCGGUAUGUAAAGCUCUAUCAGCAGGGAAGAAAAUGACGGUACCUGACUAAGGAGCUCCGGCUAAAUACGUGCCAGCAGCCGCGGUAAUACGUAUGGAGCAAGCGUUAUCCGGAUUUACUGGGUGUAAAGGGAGCGUAGACGGGACAGCAAGUCUGAUGUGAAAGGCGGGGGCUCAACCCCUGGACUGCAUUGGAAACUGUUGACCUUGAGUGCCGGAGAGGUAAGCGGAAUUCCUAGUGUAGCGGUGAAAUGCGUAGAUAUUAGGAGGAACACCAGUGGCGAAGGCGGCUUACUGGACGGUAACUGACGUUGAGGCUCGAAAGCGUGGGGAGCAAACAGGAUUAGAUACCCUGGUA
rnacentral:rRNA from 1 species